rnacentral:tRNA from 1 species
CCGAAUAUUUAAGCGGUAAUGUUUACUACCUUUCAGCCAAAAAGCGGGAUGGUGUAAAAGGGGAGUUCGAAUCUCUCUAUUCUGA